AUUUCAUGAUUCUAGGUUAACGGGAAGUACCCUAUAGGUUUCUUGACAGACAGACAACAAAGUGAUCAUAUAAGGGUUCCGUUUUUCCUUUUGAGGUAAGGAACCCUAAAAAGCGUUAACGUGUGAACAUAUACUUGGAAAUACGUAUUUUGUUUGGACGCUUUUUUAACAGACGUUAAAAAAUCAACGGAAGGAUAGAGAUAGAAAAAUUAACUUAACACAUUUAAAAGGUUGAUACAAGUCGUCCUAAAUGUAAAAUAACACAAUAUAUUACGGACUUCUCCAGAAAACUUAAAUAAUUUUUGCAUUGAACACAUUCCAGAAAAAAAAAUUGGUAAACGUAAAAAAAAUGAUAUAUUCAUAAAUGCAUGACAAUAAAUGAACGAUUUUUUUGAUUUUC